GAAGAGUUUCUUGCUCAACAGAAGCAGGAACAAAAGAAUCAGCUGUUUCAUGCGGUGCAGAGAUUGCAAAGAGUGCAAAACCAGCUGAAGAGUAUGCGGCACGCGGCAGCAGACGCCAAGCCUGAGAGUAAGUGGAGCCCUGAGUGACGUGUACUCGAGAACAGGCAUUCACUGCAGGACAGCCCUGAUCAUGGUUGGCGGCCAUUAACCGACUCCGCAUUUUAGGGCAUCAUUGCUUUCCUACCUGGUCAAAGGGAAUCCUGAUUUAAAAAAAUAUCCAUGGGUUUUCAAAAAUA
rnacentral:lncRNA from 1 species